rnacentral:rRNA from 1 species
AUUGAACGCUGGCGGCAGGCUUAACACAUGCAAGUCGAGCGGGGUGAUGGUGCUUGCACUAUCACUUAGCGGCGGACGGGUGAGUAAUGCUUAGGAAUCUGCCUAUUAGUGGGGGACAACAUCUCGAAAGGGAUGCUAAUACCGCAUACGUCCUACGGGAGAAAGCAGGGGAUCACUUGUGACCUUGCGCUAAUAGAUGAGCCUAAGUCGGAUUAGCUAGUUGGUGGGGUAAAGGCCUACCAAGGCGACGAUCUGUAGCGGGUCUGAGAGGAUGAUCCGCCACACUGGGACUGAGACACGGCCCAGACUCCUACGGGAGGCAGCAGUGGGGAAUAUUGGACAAUGAGGGGAACCCUGAUCCAGCCAUGCCGCGUGUGUGAAGAAGGCCUUAUGGUUGUAAAGCACUUUAAGCGAGGAGGAGGCUCUUUUGGUGAAUACCCAAGAUGAGUGGACGUUACUCGCAGAAUAAGCACCGGCUAACUCUGUGCCAGCCGCCGCAGUAA